rnacentral:lncRNA from 1 species
UAAAGUGAAAGACGUUCAACCUGGAAGCUCCCAUGAAAAGCCACCAAAAACGAUCACACACUAAUGCCGGCAAACGUAGCGCCGAGGUCAUCAGGAGGGUGGCUCCCUCCAGAAUCCUGAACUGACGGCGCGGAGGAGGUGCGUGGGGAGAGGAAGCCGCGUGGGCCGUAAGCCUGCCCAGCCGGCUGGAUUCCUACCUGGACAGGCCUUCCCACAGGCUGGCCGCCGGUCGUUCUUGCCCGGCCCUGCCGUCAGGGCGCUCGCGCUGCGCCUGUCCGGAGCUCGAAGGUCACCCCGGGCGUCGCCACCCGCCAGCGGUCACUCAUUCCGUCCCAGCUCCCGACUGUCACCCAGCAACCACUGCUCCGCCACAGUUCCCUGGCUGUCUCGUCCGCCGGAGAGCGGGGAGGAGCCCAAAGGAGGGGCUGGGGGCGGAUACUUCCGGUGAUUCGGAUCUCCUAUUGGCUGUUGCUCCGCAACCGGAACUGCAUAUAUUGCGAGUGCCAUUUUCCUUCAGGGUAGAAGGCGAGGUUUGUUUUGGGCAGGCACUCUUAAUCACUGGGUUUUCUGUUCCAUCUUAUAACUCCUCCCCUUCAGAGUAUUUUCCCUUCAGAGUCUUCAAAGUUCAAAGGCGCCAUGUAUGAAAAGAUGCCCAUGGUUAUCUUGGGGUGUAGCGGGGAGAAGUGGGGAGGGGGCGUCCCAAAACCACGUAGAUUCUUGUUUAUCAAGCCAACAGGGAAAAGUCUG